UGGGGAAUUUUGGACAAUGGGCGAAAGCCUGAUCCAGCAAUGCCGCGUGUGUGAAGAAGGCCUUCGGGUUGUAAAGCACUUUUGUCCGGAAAGAAAUCCUUGGCUCUAAUACAGUCGGGGGAUGACGGUACCGGAAGAAUAAGCACCGGCUAACUACGUGCCAGCAGCCGCGGUAAUACGUAGGGUGCAAGCGUUAAUCGGAAUUACUGGGCGUAAAGCGUGCGCAGGCGGUUUGCUAAGACCGGUGUGAAAUCCCCGGGCUCAACCUGGGAACUGCAUUGGUGACUGGCAGGCUAGAGUAUGGCAGAGGGGGGUAGAAUUCCACGUGUAGCAGUGAAAUGCGUAGAGAUGUGGAGGAAUACCGAUGGCGAAGGCAGCCCCCUGGGCCAAUACUGACGCUCAUGCACGAAAGCGUGGGGAGCAAACAGGAUUAGAUACCCUGGUAGUCCACGCCCUAAACGAUGUCAACUAGUUGUUGGGGAUUCAUUCCUUAGUAACGUAGCUAACGCGUGAAGUUGACCGCCUGGGGAGUACGGUCG
rnacentral:rRNA from 1 species